rnacentral:rRNA from 1 species
CCUACGGGAGGCAGCAGUAAGGAAUCUUCCACAAUGGACGAAAGUCUGAUGGAGCAACGCCGCGUGCAGGAUGAAGGCUUUCGGGUCGUAAACUGCUUUUAUAUGGGAAGAUUAUGACGGUACCAUAUGAAUAAGGACCGGCUAACUACGUGCCAGCAGCCGCGGUAAUACGUAGGGUCCAAGCGAUAUCCGGAAUUACUGGGCGUAAAGCGUGUGUAGGUGGAUUAAUAAGUGUGAUGCGAAAUCCGGCGGCUCAACCGUUUGGACUGUGUCGCAUACUGUUAGUCUAGAGGACGGCAGAGGUAAGUGGAAUUACGGGUGUAGCAGUGAAAUGCGUAGAUAUCCGUAGGAACACCAAUGGCGAAGGCAGCUUACUGGGCCACACCUGACACUGAGACACGAAAGCGUGGGGAGCGAACAGGAUUAGAUACCCUGGUAGUCCACGCCGUAAACGAUGCAUACUAUUAGUAUGGGGUAUCGACCCCCUGUGCUGAGAAGCUAACGCGAUAAGUAUGCCGCCUGGGGAGUACGAGCGCAGACUUAAAACUACAAAUAGAAUUGACG